rnacentral:rRNA from 1 species
AUGAAGUUCCACUUCAUGAUGGGCUUACACAACGACAUCUCCAAGACCAUCUUCCUCGAGAAUUACAAGUCCAUCGACGACUACUACAUUGGUGCUCUCAAGGCGGAACAAGAACUCAUGAAGGCCACGGCUUCUCCACCCCAAGCAAACUUCACGGCGACCAAGCUCCAUGAGAACGAGCAUGAGGAUAGUACCACCAAGAUGUCCAAGCCCGACGAGCUCCAAGACGAUGCUCCCAAGUGCGACUUCACCGCCAUCCCUCUUUGGGGCAUUGAUGGUGCCGAGUCUACCACGACUCUUUUUCAAGACGGUGCGGCGACGAGUACGACUACGGAGGCCCUCAAGGACCAAGCUUUGGAGGCGAGCGACAAGGUGGCGAGCAAGGAUGAUGCUUCCAUCUUAGGAGGCGAGAGUGAUGAUGUGCCAUCUUCGGCCUUCAUCAACAGCGACGGUGAUGAGAUGAUCGAGCAUGGGAUUUUCCCUUCGGUCAUGGAGGAGAGUGAUGAUGUGCCAUCUUCGGCCUUCAUCCAUGGCGACGGCGAUGAGAUGGUUGAGUAUUUCACCUCGACCACGGCGACGUAUGAUGACUUGAGUGACUUUUGCCACCAUAUUGAGAGUGAGAGUGACUUCACCACUAGCCCCAUAUAUGACGAGUUGCCCCACUUUUCAUGUGAGGAGAGCCACAACCCCCACCACUUGAGUGAGAUGAGUGACUCCACCAUAUGUGACUUUGAGUGCACCUACUUCGAGGGAGUGAGUGAACCACCACAUAGAGAGAGAGAUAGUUGA